UCCCCGGUGGUCCAUUGGUUAAGAUUCUGCGCUUCCAGUGCAGGGGAUUGGGUUUGAUUCCUGAUCAGGGAA
rnacentral:tRNA from 1 species